UGGAAACGGCGCGGGACCACUGCUUCUGGUAAACAACGAAACUCCCUCUCUCGCUGUUGUUUCAACUUUUCACGGCUUUUUUCAGAUCCUUCAGUGCUGAUGCCCUGCAACGUAUUGAAGUGGAGCUGAUCUUCAUCUCUAAAGCACUACUGAUGAACCAUAUGAUUAAACAAGUCUGUGACUGACUUAAUGAACCCAGUUGGUUUGGAUCAUGCUCAAAGAUGUAAGGGUUACAAAAAGUUAACCAGAACUCUUAUGGACUCCAUCUUCUCUUUCAAAGAGAUGGCAACAUGAACGGAAAAAAGGGGUUGUUGGUGAAAAAAGAGCCUUGACCUACAAAAGGUGCAGCUAAUAAUUGACCAUAUCAAAAAGAGGCACCCAGGCAUCGGAGGCACUGAGAUUAAGGUCUGCAUGGCACAAAAGUUAAAAGAUCUGAGGAGACGAGCAGAAAGGAUGCCUGCUGCAGAAGACACAAAGGACUGAGACACACUUUUACAAACGCACACCACACAAACUGACAUGCGCGUACCUGCGUUUUUUUUUGUGGCUUUUUAUGUAUAAUUUUAAUUUGGUUUUGCUUUGUUUGUUUUAAACAUUCAAUUUGUAUUGCAUAUUUUGAAA